rnacentral:misc_RNA from 1 species
CUCUCUCUCUCUCUCUCCUCUCCUCUCCUGGUGAGAAAGAAAGAUACAACCCUCUUCUCUCUUUGCUUUGCUCUGAAUCCACUCAAACUCAAAGGGAAUGCGACUUGGUAAAUACGAGCUCGGCAGGACUCUUGGGGAAGGCAAUUUUGGAAAAGUCAAAUUAGCGAAGAACAUUGAAUCCGGCCAACCUUUUGCUGUUAAGAUUCUUGAGAAGAACAGAAUCAUCCAUCUCAACAUCACUGAUCAGAUAAAGAGGGAGAUCGCCACCUUGAAGCUUCUUAAACAUCCGAACGUUGUCAGAUUAUAUGAGGUUUGUGUCAGGUGCGUGUUAAUUAGGCCCUCUCUCGCGCAUCGCAUGGCAAGUUGGGGACGGAAAUGUCCUCGUCACGCGAACUGGAGCCAUCCGGUAUUCAAUUGGCUACAGAAACCUGAAAACGCCACGGAUAAUUGAGAGUCCAUCAGAAAUUGGUGGCAGUAAGCUUCAGAGUGGGUCCCACAUUGGCUGGAUGCAUCGACUAUUAAAUUUGUCAGAGCAUGGACCUCUUGCGGAAGCCAUUUGCCAUUUUUAAAAAAAUAAUUGCGUGGUCUGUCCUUAAACAUCCUUAUGUGUUACGAAAGGGAGCAAAAUGUUGCAUCUUUUUGUAAAGGAAACAGAACUGGAUCUGUAUGCAUGAUGGAUCGGGAAAAGCUUAAUAAAGGAUGGUUCUAAUAAGGCCAAUUGGUUUGGACGGAAGGGAUUUCUUCAUGGAUUAGUAAUUGGUCUAAUCACAUGAAUUAUAUUUCAGCAUCAGUAGUGAUAGAUUUUGGUGCAGUAACUAUUAUUCACCACAGCUAAUAAAUGCUUUCUUGCAUUAGACUCUUAAUUAAAUGUAAUGUUGAAGCUUAUACGAUAACUGAAGUCAAAUGAAAAAAAAAAAAAUCUUGAUAAAUAUUGCAAGAUUUUUCAGACUAAACCGUGUUUAUUUUCCAGUUAUGGCGUUAUCAUGUUUCCUUGGGCUGUAUCCCCUAACAUUUCAUCACAGUCCUCAUCACACUCUGGACAAACACUGAUGACAUAAAGUCUUUUUUUUUUUUUAAUUUCUCUCUUCGUUUUUUUUCAAAUUUCUGUUUAGAAUUUCUAUUUUGGAGCUAUACAUUUCAGUUAGGUUCACAUAUGACUGAUGAAUCUGUGUAAUUUUGUGCUACAUUUUUUUAUGGCAAAUAUGCAGGUCUUGGCAAGCAAAUCAAAGAUUUACAUGGUCCUAGAAUAUGUAAAUGGAGGGGAAUUGUUUGACAGAAUAGCAUCCAAGGGCAAGCUUUCAGAAGCUCAGGGCAGGAAGCUCUUUCAGCAGUUGAUUGAUGGUGUCAGUUACUGUCACAGCAAAGGUGUUUUCCAUAGGGAUCUCAAGCUAGAGAAUGUUCUUGUUGAUGCAAAAGGAAACAUAAAGAUAUCUGAUUUUGGACUCAGCGCUUUACCACAGCAUUUCAGGGAUGAUGGGUUACUGCAUACAACCUGCGGAAGUCCUAACUAUGUUGCACCUGAGAUUCUCUCAAACAGAGGUUAUGAUGGUGCCACAUCAGAUAUUUGGUCAUGUGGUGUUAUUUUAUAUGUAAUUCUCACAGGAUAUCUCCCUUUUGAUGAUAGAAACAUUGCAGUUCUAUAUCAAAAGAUAUUCAAGGGUGACGCUCAGAUACCUAAAUGGCUAUCACCAGGUGCUCAAAACAUGAUAAGGAGGAUCCUCGAUCCAAAUCCAGUUACCAGAAUAACAGUGGCAGGUAUCAAAGCUGAUGAAUGGUUCAAGCAGGACUAUACUCCUGCUGAUCCUGCAGAAGAAGAAGAUGAUAUAUAUAUUGACAAUGAAGCUUUCUCGAUGCAUGAAAUGGUAUGAGUCGGAAAUGUUUAUCUUGAUAACCCACCCUUUUGGUGUAAUUUUUAGUGCUCUGUUGCUGUAACUAGAAGGAUUGUUCUUUUUGUAUAGCCAUUGGAAGGGGAGAGGAGUCCAGGAUCGCCUGCACUCAUCAAUGCCUUUCAAUUGAUUGGAAUGUCCUCAUGUCUAGACCUCUCUGGGUUCUUUGAGAAAGAGGUGACUAAAAAGUAGCCAGAGGCUAUUUUUUCUAUUGCUGGUUCACAAAAUGACUAGAAUAUCUGAUUGCAUACUGUAUGUACAUUUGGUUUGUAUCAAUUUAGGAUGUUUCAGAGAGGAAGAUUAGAUUUACAUCUAGUCACUCUUUGAAGGAUUUGCUUGAGAAAAUAGAGGAUAUUGUGACGGGGAUGGGAUUUCUAAUCCAAAAGAAAAAUGGGAAGGUUAGUAUUUUUGUAAAUUUGAGACACACAAUUUUUCUUGCUCGCUAGAACUAUAAAAUGUUGAUAUAUCUUGAUGAUGAGAAUUGUGUCCUUUAUCAGUUGAAAGUGGUGCAAGAGAACAAGGAGCAGAGAAGUAUGGGUAGUCUUGCAGUUGCUGCAGAGGUAUCUGAAAUUUGUUGAAGUAAUUGCAAGUUAUAGAAAUUUGCACACAGAUGUUGAGUUGCUGAAAUUUAUGUAAUUGUAUCAGGUAUUUGAAAUAAGUCCAUCGCUGCAUGUAGUUGAAUUACAUAAAUCAUAUGGAGAUCCUUCAGUUUAUAGACAGGUAUAUUCUUAAUUUCCUUCCUAAUAAUUGUUGAUAUUUAAUUUGGAGAUAUGAAUGUUUUUAAUAUAAUUAUUAUUUGAACGCAGUUGUGUAAAAAGCUAUCAAAUGAUUUAAGCGUCCCAUCGGGUCAAGGACUGUUGACCACACAAGUGUGAAUAAAUAAUGAAUUGUUAGGUGAGGGAGGCCUUGGAGAGGAGAAACCAGUGUACAUCCCUGUUUACCUUGUGCAAAAACCUACUCUUUGUAGUUAUUAUAGUUAUUCAGCAUGUGAAAGAAAGUAAAUUAUGCCCUUUGGGCCUUGAAAUGAAAGAGUAAAUUAUGCCCA